rnacentral:rRNA from 1 species
AGAGUUUGAUCAUGGCUCAGAUUGAACGCUAGCGGUAGGCUUAACACAUGCAAGUCGUGCGAGAAAGUAUCUUCGGAUAUGAGUAGAGCGGCGGACGGGUGAGUAACGCGUAGGAAUCUACCUAGUAGAAGGGGAUAGCCCGGGGAAACUCGGAUUAAUACCGUAUACCUCCUUUGGGAGAAAGAGGGCCUCUCUUGAUGCUCUCGCUAUUAGAUGAGCCUGCGUAAGAUUAGCUAGUUGGUAAGGUAAUGGCUUACCAAGGCUACGAUCUUUAGCUGGUCUGAGAGGACGAUCAGCCACAUUGGGACUGAGACACGGCCCAGACUCCUACGGGAGGCAGCAGUGGGGAAUAUUGGACAAUGGGCGCAAGCCUGAUCCAGCCAUACCGCGUGUGUGAAGAAGGCCUUCGGGUUGUAAAGCACUUUAAGCAGGGAGAAAAAGCUAUAAGUUAAUACCUUAUAGCCGUGAUGUUACCUGCAGAAUAAGCACCGGCUAAUUCCGUGCCAGCAGCCGCGGUAAUACGGAAGGUGCAAGCGUUAAUCGGAAUUACUGGGCGUAAAGCGCGCGUAGGUGGUUUGUUAAGUUGGAUGUGAAAGCCCUGGGCUCAACCUAGGAACUGCAUCCAAAACUAACUCACUAGAGUACGAUAGAGGGAGGUAGAAUUCAUAGUGUAGCGGUGGAAUGCGUAGAUAUUAUGAAGAAUACCAGUGGCGAAGGCGGCCUCCUGGAUCUGUACUGACACUGAGGUGCGAAAGCGUGGGU